ensembl:snRNA U2 U2 spliceosomal RNA
AUCGCUUCUCAGCCUUUUGGCUAAGAUCAAGUGUAGUAUCUGUUCUUAUCAGAAAGUCAGAUACCAGCUGGUGAAGUAUUAUAUUGUGAGCCUGAAUAUGAGGACCAAGGCCAGGUUUUGUCAUUUUGUAUACUGAUUUAUCACUUUAUAGUCUGAUUCCU